rnacentral:rRNA from 1 species
GACGAACGCUGGCGGCGUGCCUAAUACAUGCAAGUCGAGCGGGGAUUAUGCUUGAUCGCUUCGGUGAGACGGCAUAUAUCCUAGCGGCGGACGGGUGAGUAACGCGUGGGUAAUCUACCUCGUAGUUCGGGAUAACAGGCCGAAAGGCUUGCUAAUACCGGAUGAGUUCAUGCUUAUGCAUAUAGGCAUGAAGAAAGGGCUAGCCCGCUAUGAGAUGAGCCCGCGUCCCAUUAGCUUGUUGGUGGGGUAAUGGCCUACCAAGGCAACGAUGGGUAGCCGGCCUGAGAGGGUGUACGGCCACACUGGGACUGAGACACGGCCCAGACUCCUACGGGGGGCAGCAGUAGGGAAUUUUCGGCAAUGGGCGAAAGCCUGACCGAGCGACGCCGCGUGAGGGACGAAGGCCUUCGGUUGUAAACCUCUGUCUGGGGGAUGAGAACGGACGGUACCCCCGGACGGAAGCCCCGGCUAACUACGUG